CCUACGGGCGGCAGCAGUGGGGAAUAUUGGACAAUGGGGGGAACCCUGAUCCAGCGACGCCGCGUGAGUGAAGAAGUAUUUCGGUAUGUAAAGCCCCAUUAGCAGGGAAGAAAGAAAUGACGGUACCUGACUAAGAAGCCCCGGCUAACUACGUGCCAGCAGCCGCGGUAAUACGUAGGGGGCAAGCGUUAUCCGGAUUUACUGGGUGUAAAGGGAGCGUAGACGGCGAUGCAAGUCUGAAGUGAAAGGCGGGGGCGCAACCCCCGGACUGCUUUGGAAACUGGAUGGCUGGAGUGCAGGAGAGGUAAGUGGAAUUCCUGGUGUAGCGGUGAAAUGCGUAGAUAUUAGGAGGAACACCAGUGGCGAAGGCGGCUUUCUGGACGAAAACUGACGCUGAGGUACGAAAGCGUGGGGAGCAAACAGGAUUAGAUACCCGAGUAGUC
rnacentral:rRNA from 1 species